UACGAAGGGGGCGAGCGUUGUUCGGAAUUACUGGGCGUAAAGGGCGUGUAGGCGGCUCCUUUUGUCGCGUGUGAAAGCCCCGGGCUCAACCUGGGAAUUGCGCGCGAAACGGGGGGGCUUGAGUUCGGGAGAGGAGCGUGGAAUUCCCAGUGUAGAGGUGAAAUUCGUAGAUAUUGGGAAGAACACCGGUGGCGAAGGCGGCGCUCUGGACCGAGACUGACGCUGAGGCGCGAAAGCGUGGGGAGCAAACAGGAUUGAGAAACCCU
rnacentral:rRNA from 1 species